GCCUUGCCCAUGGGGGCAUCCCGGGCCUAUAUUGCGGGUGUCGGGUGACCGACUAUGGCGAUAAACGCUGUUCGGAAUAAGCGUAGCGGACCCGGGGGCAGUACCCGGCGCCUCCACCAACUUUCUGAACCCGCCGUGGCGGGCCUCAUGGGGGCGAACCAGGAUCGACGCGCGUGGUAAAGGUGCAGUUUUCGCCCGGCAUGGUACCGCCGUUAUCGGGCCAAUCUGAUAGAUGCCAACGACAAUGAGGCAUAUGCUCUGGCCGCUUAAGGCUUGAGCGGGGUUCGGGAGGCACCUGGCAACAGAAGCCUCCCACC
rnacentral:tmRNA from 1 species